rnacentral:rRNA from 1 species
CGAAUGCUGACAUAAGUAACGAUAAAGCGGGUGAAAAGCCCGCUCGCCGGAAGACCAAGGGUUCCUGUCCAACGUUAAUCGGGGCAGGGUGAGUCGACCCCUAAGGCGAGGCCGAAAGGCGUAGUCGAUGGGAAACAGGUUAAUAUUCCUGUACUUGGUGUUACUGCGAAGGGGGGACGGAGAAGGCUAUGUUGGCCGGGCGACGGUUGUCCCGGUUUAAGCGUGUAGGCUGGUUUUCCAGGCAAAUCCGGAAAAUCAAGGCUGAGGCGUGAUGACGAGGCACUACGGUGCUGAAGCAACAAAUGCCCUGCUUCCAGGAAAAGCCUCUAAGCAUCAGGUAACAUCAAAUCGUACCCCAAACCGACACAGGUGGUCAGGUAGAGAAUACCAAGGCGCUUGAGAGAACUCGGGUGAAGGAACUAGGCAAAAUGGUGCCGUAACUUCGGGAGAAGGCACGCUGAUAUGUAGGUGAAGUCCCUCGCGGAUGGAGCUGAAAUCAGUCGAAGAUACCAGCUGGCUGCAACUGUUUAUUAAAAACACAGCACUGUGCAAACACGAAAGUGGACGUAUACGGUGUGACGCCUGCCCGGUGCCGGAAGGUUAAUUGAUGGGGUUAGCGCAAGCGAAGCUCUUGAUCGAAGCCCCGGUAAACGGCGGCCGUAACUAUAACGGUCCUAAGGUAGCGAAAUUCCUUGUCGGGUAAGUUCCGACCUGCACGAAUGGCGUAAUGAUGGCCAGGCUGUCUCCACCCGAGACUCAGUGAAAUUGAACUCGCUGUGAAGAUGCAGUGUACCCGCGGCAAGACGGAAAGACCCCGUGAACCUUUACUAUAGCUUGACACUGAACAUUGAGCCUUGAUGUGUAGGAUAGGUGGGAGGCUUUGAAGUGUGGACGCCAGUCUGCAUGGAGCCGACCUUGAAAUACCACCCUUUAAUGUUUGAUGUUCUAACGUUGACCCGUAAUCCGGGUUGCGGACAGUGUCUGGUGGGUAGUUUGACUGGGGCGGUCUCCUCCUAAAGAGUAACGGAGGAGCACGAAGGUUGGCUAAUCCUGGUCGGACAUCAGGAGGUUAGUGCAAUGGCAUAAGCCAGCUUGACUGCGAGCGUGACGGCGCGAGCAGGUGCGAAAGCAGGUCAUAGUGAUCCGGUGGUUCUGAAUGGAAGGGCCAUCGCUCAACGGAUAAAAGGUACUCCGGGGAUAACAGGCUGAUACCGCCCAAGAGUUCAUAUCGACGGCGGUGUUUGGCACCUCGAUGUCGGCUCAUCACAUCCUGGGGCUGAAGUAGGUCCCAAGGGUAUGGCUGUUCGCCAUUUAAAGUGGUACGCGAGCUGGGUUUAGAACGUCGUGAGACAGUUCGGUCCCUAUCUGCCGUG